rnacentral:misc_RNA from 1 species
UACGAGAGCCCCAAGCGUUAUCCGGAUUUAUUGGGCGUAAAGCGUGUCCAGGUGGUUUAGUUAGUCUCUCGUUAAAGCUCCGGGCUUAACCCGGAAGGUGCGAGGGAAACGGCUAAACUAGAGAAUGUGAGAGGUGUACGGAACUCUAUGUGUAGGGGUGAAAUCCGUUGAUAUAUAGGGGAACACCAAAGGCGAAGGCAGUACACUGGCACAUUUCUGACACUCACACACGAAAGCGUGGGUAGCGAACGGG